rnacentral:tRNA from 1 species
GCGGAAGUGGCGGAAAUAUUGGUAGACGCACCAGAUUUAGGUUCUGGCUAUUUAAAAAAGAUAAUACGAGUUCGAGUCUCGUCUUCCGCA